rnacentral:misc_RNA from 1 species
AACGCACAUUGCGCCCGCCAGUACUCUGGCGGGCAUGCCUGUCCGAGCGUCAUUUCAACCCUCAAGCCCCAGCGGUUUGGUGUUGGGCAUCGGCCGUCCUCUGCGGCGGCCGUGCCCCAAAUACAGUGGCGGACUCGCUGUUGCCUCCUCUGCGUAGUAAUUACACCUCGCACCGGAUAGACACGAAGUCCACGCCGUAAAACAACCCAAUUUCUGAAUGUUGACCUCGGAUCAGGUAGGAAUACCCGCUGAACUUAA